rnacentral:rRNA from 1 species
AAAGUCAUGGUUAAGUGGGAAACGAUGUGGGAAGGCCCAGACAGCCAGGAUGUUGGCUUAGAAGCAGCCAUCAUUUAAAGAAAGCGUAAUAGCUCACUGGUCGAGUCGGCCUGCGCGGAAGAUGUAACGGGGCUAAACCAUGCACCGAAGCUGCGGCAGCGACGCUGAUGCGUUGUUGGGUAGGGGAGCGUUCUGUAAGCCUGUGAAGGUGGCCUGUGAGGGUUGCUGGAGGUAUCAGAAGUGCGAAUGCUGACAUAAGUAACGAUAAAGCGGGUGAAAAGCCCGCUCGCCGGAAGACCAAGGGUUCCUGUCCAACGUUAAUCGGGGCAGGGUGAGUCGACCCCUAAGGCGAGGCCGAAAGGCGUAGUCGAUGGGAAACGGGUUAAUAUUCCCGUACUUGGUGUUACUGCGAAGGGGGGACGGAGAAGGCUAUGUUGGCCGGGCGACGGUUGUCCCGGUUUAAGCGUGUAGGUGUGUGUUCCAGGUAAAUCCGGUUCACUUUAACACUGAGGCGUGAUGACGAGGCACUACGGUGCUGAAGCAACAAAUGCCCUGCUUCCAGGAAAAGCCUCUAAGCAUCAGGUAACAUCAAAUCGUACCCCAAACCGACACAGGUGGUCAGGUAGAGAAUACCAAGGCGCUUGAGAGAACUCGGGUGAAGGAACUAGGCAAAAUGGUGCCGUAACUUCGGGAGAAGGCACGCUGACACGUAGGUGAAGUGAUUUACUCACGGAGCUGAAGUCAGUCGAAGAUACCAGCUGGCUGCAACUGUUUAUUAAAAACACAGCACUGUGCAAACACGAAAGUGGACGUAUACGGUGUGACGCCUGCCCGGUGCCGGAAGGUUAAUUGAUGGGGUCAGCGCAAGCGAAGCUCCUGAUCGAAGCCCCGGUAAACGGCGGCCGUAACUAUAACGGUCCUAAGGUAGCGAAAUUCCUUGUCGGGUAAGUUCCGACCUGCACGAAUGGCGUAAUGAUGGCCAGGCUGUCUCCACCCGAGACUCAGUGAAAUUGAACUCGCUGUGAAGAUGCAGUGUACCCGCGGCAAGACGGAAAGACCCCGUGAACCUUUACUAUAGCUUGACACUGAACAUUGAGCCUUGAUGUGUAGGAUAGGUGGGAGGCUUUGAAGUGUGGACGCCAGUCUGCAUGGAGCCGACCUUGAAAUACCACCCUUUAAUGUUUGAUGUUCUAACGUGGACCCGUGAUCCGGGUUGCGGACAGUGUCUGGUGGGUAGUUUGACUGGGGCGGUCUCCUCCUAAAGAGUAACGGAGGAGCACGAAGGUUGGCUAAUCCUGGUCGGACAUCAGGAGGUUAGUGCAAUGGCAUAAGCCAGCUUGACUGCGAGCGUGACGGCGCGAGCAGGUGCGAAAGCAGGUCAUAGUGAUCCGGUGGUUCUGAAUGGAAGGGCCAUCGCUCAACGGAUAAAAGGUACUCCGGGGAUAACAGGCUGAUACCGCCCAAGAGUUCAUAUCGACGGCGGUGUUUGGCACCUCGAUGUCGGCUCAUCACAUCCUGGGGCUGAAGUAGGUCCCAAGGGUAUGGCUGUUCGCCAUUUAAAGUGGUACGCGAGCUGGGUUUAGAACGUCGUGAGACAGUUCGGUCCCUAUCUGCCGUGGGCGCUGGAGAACUGAGGGGGGCUGCUCCUAGUACGAGAGGACCGGAGUGGACGCAUCACUGGUGUUCGGGUUGUCAUGCCAAUGGCACUGCCCGGUAGCUAAAUGCGGAAGAGAUAAGUGC